ACUCAAGAUAGAAAAUGUGACAUAGGCUUAAUCAGCAGCACGGUACUAGGUACCAGAGAAAAUACAAUGCAGAAAUGGGCUCCAGAUUGCAGUCGUUAAUUCCUGUGUUAGUUCGUUUUCAAAAUGGUAUUGACAUGAGCCAAAAUCUGUGGAUGUUUUGCUUGAAAAGCAAUAAGGAAUCUCCCCACAGAAGCUGCACAAGAUUUUACUCAUGAGAAUGUGGAAGCUUGCAGGAAAAUCGGUGCAGAAUCUUACGAAUCAUUAACGUUGGUCAGAAAGCGGGAAAGCAGCAUGUAGCGGCAUUUACUGUCUCCGUAUCCUGGCUCUCUCUGAAUGCCAGGCUGCUAUAUAAAACGACUUAAGUAUUUUUGAAGUUUAUUCUAACAUAUUACACUGACUGCCAGUGAUACCAGACUACUAAAGCUUUUAGGGCUCUAAAG
rnacentral:lncRNA from 1 species